rnacentral:rRNA from 1 species
UUCGUAGGCGGCCAACUAAGUCAGACGUGAAAUCCCUCGGCUUAACCGGGGAACUGCGUCUGAUACUGGAUGGCUUGAGUUCGGGAGAGGGAUGCGGAAUUCCAGGUGUAGCGGUGAAAUGCGUAGAUAUCUGGAGGAACACCGGUGGCGAAGGCGGCAUCCUGGACCGAAACUGACGCUGAUGAGCGAAAGCCAGGGAGCAAACG